UUUUGUUUUGUUUUGGUGAUCAUUUGGAUCGAAUUUCACUCGUGGACAUUUAAAUAAUGGACUAAUUUAUUAUUUUGGAAUGAACAUUUGUAUAUAAUACACACACACCCGAACAGAAAAUAAUAUGGCAGAAAACAUGUUACACACAUAAGCAAAGGAAAUGAACAAAUACGCCCAAUCAUCAGCAUAGAAAAAUGACAAGGUGUUUAUAAUGUGUCGUUUAAAUUCCGUCAUUUGGACUUGUGUGUGUGUGUGUGCAAUGAACAAACGAAAAGAAAAACAUUCAUUUGGAACAUUCGAUUUUCGGGGAGUGUUCAUCAUCGUUUUUUUUUGGGCGUCGUCAUUAUCGUCAAAUGUUGGAUCAUCGUUUGUUGUUGUUUUUUGAUCCGAAAAUGUUAAUAACAUUUUACCAUUGAUUGGUAAUUUGAUCAAUAAUGACGAGUUUUUUUUUAAACAAUUGGUAUUUAUUAAGAGACGAAAUAAGACGCAACUUGGAUAUAAGACGCAGAUGUUUUUAUUAUCUCUCUUAAAGAAACGUAUUAUGUAUGAGGAUAUUUUUCAACCUUUUCUCAUUGUAUAAGAUGCCUCCUUAUGGUCGUGAUUUUAUGGUAAUAAUAGAUUUGAUUGGAUUCAAUUUGAAUCUCAAAAUGAAAUGAAUCGAUUGUUGUUAUUUGUUGUUGUUGUUGUCAAUCACAAGUAAUCAAAUGGAAUUUAUCUAUCAUUUUACAUCGCAUAUUAUUAUUAUUAUUAUUGUUUUAUUUCAACUACAUAUACAUGUGGUCAUUUGUAUACCAAAAUGACCACAUUGUUUGUCCAGCGAUAAUCAAAUUAAAAACGAUAAUAAUAAUAAUGUCAUCAGAAAGUGGUCAAUAGUCCAACGAUUGAAUAAUAUUGAAAUGACGAUUGAACUUUUUUUUUUUUUUUUUUUUUUGUUUCUGGAAAAACAACAUGACAACAUUCUACAUUUGUAAUUGCACACACACACAUUGAUCAUUUCAUUUCAUAUUGGCCGAUAUCAAUCAAUUGGCUUCAAGAUGAAAAAAAAUGAAAUAACGUCAUCAUCAUCAUCAUAUAUUUGGCACAUAGUAAUCAUAGAUAGAUUGAUCUGCGUAAUAAUGAAAUAUAUCGAUAUCGAUAUAUAUUUGAAAUGGUA